UACGUAGGGGGCAAGCGUUGUCCGGAUUUAUUGGGCGUAAAGAGCGUGUAGGCGGCCUGAAAGGUCAGCUGUGAAAACUCGAGGCUCAACCUCGAGACGUCGGUUGAAACCAUCUGGCUAGAGUCCGGAAGAGGAGUGUGGAAUUCCCGGUGUAGCGGUGAAAUGCGCAGAUAUCGGGAAGAACACCCGUGGCUAAGGCGGCUCUCUAGUACGGUACUGACGCUGAGACGCGAAAAGCGUGGGGAGCGAACAGG
rnacentral:rRNA from 1 species